rnacentral:misc_RNA from 1 species
GAUGAAGAACGCAGCGAAAUGAGAUAAGUAAUGUGAAUUGCAGAAUUCAGUGAAUCAUCGAAUCUUUGAACGCACAUUGCGCCCGCCAGUAUUCUGGCGGGCAUGCCUGUCUGAGCGUCAUUUCAACCCUCAUGCCCCUAGGGCGUGGUGUUGGGGAUCGGCCAAAGCCCGCGAGGGACGGCCGGCCCCUAAAUCUAGUGGCGGACCCGUCGUGGCCUCCUCUGCGAAGUAGUGAUAUUCCGCAUCGGAGAGCGACGAGCCCCUGCCGUUAAACCCCCAACUUUCCAAGGUUGACCUCAGAUCAGGAAGGAAUACCCGCUGAACUUAAGCAUAUCAAUAAGCGGAGGA